rnacentral:rRNA from 1 species
GAAGUAAAAGUCGUAACAAGGUYUCCGUUGGUGAACCAGCGGAGGGAUCAUUAGCGAGUUAAUUAUAAACUCCAAACCCGUGUGAACUUACCUAUCGUUGCCUCGGCAGGUCGUGCUGCACGGUACGGGAAGCUACCCUGCAGCUGACCUACCCUGGAGAGGAGCUACCCUGGAGUUGAGAGACACUCUGGAGAGAGGCUACCCUGGAGGUACGGAAAGCUGUCAACAGACCAGCACCUACCCUGCAGCACGCAACCAGGCCUGCCGAAGGACCCUUUAAACUCUGUUUUAUAGUUGUAUCUCUGAGAAAAACUUAAAAUAAGUUAAAACUUUCAACAACGGAUCUCUUGGUUCUGGCAUCGAUGAAGAACGCAGCGAAAUGCGAUAAGUAAUGUGAAUUGCAGAAUUCAGUGAAUCAUCGAAUCUUUGAACGCACAUUGCGCCUAAUGGUAUUCCGUUAGGCAUGCCUGUUCGAGCGUCAUUUCAACCUCCAAGCCCUAUUUGCUUGACGUUGGGAGCUUACAGCUGCUGUAACUCCUCAAAUUUAGUGGCGGAGCUAGGUCGUGCUCUGAGCGUAGUAAAUCUUAUUCUCGCUUCUGAGGCUACCCUGUAUCCUGCCGUAAAACCCCCCUAAAUUUUAUUCUGGUUGACCUCGGAUCAGGUAGGAAUACCCGCUGAACUUAAGCAUAUCAAUAAGCGGAGG